CCUACGGGUGGCAGCAGUGAGGAAUAUUGGUCAAUGGACGAGAGUCUGAACCAGCCAAGUAGCGUGAAGGAUGACUGCCCUAUGGGUUGUAAACUUCUUUUAUAUGGGAAUAAAACGUUCCACGUGUGGGAUUUUGUAUGUACCAUAUGAAUAAGGAUCGGCUAACUCCGUGCCAGCAGCCGCGGUAAUACGGAGGAUCCGAGCGUUAUCCGGAUUUAUUGGGUGUAAAGGGAGCGUAGGUGGAUUGUUAAGUCAGUUGUGAAAGUUUGCGGCUCAACCGUAAAAUUGCAGUUGAAACUGGCAGUCUGGAGUACAGUAGAGGUGGGCGGAAUUCGUGGUGUAGCGGUGAAAUGCUUAGAUAUCACGAAGAACUCCGAUUGCGAAGGCAGCUCACUGGACUGCAACUGACACUGAGGCUCGAAAGUGUGGGUAUCAAACAGGAUUAGAUACCCGAGUAGUC
rnacentral:rRNA from 1 species